rnacentral:rRNA from 1 species
GACGAACGCUGGCGGCGUGCUUAACACAUGCAAGUCGAACGAAAAGAGGGAAAGAGCUUGCUCUUUCCGGAAUUGAGUGGCAAACGGGUGAGUAACACGUAAACAACCUGCCUUCAGGAUGGGGACAACAGACGGAAACGACUGCUAAUACCGAAUAAGUUCCAAGGGCCGCAUGGCGCAUGGAAGAAAAGGUGGCCUCUACCUGUAAGCUAUCGCCUGAAGAGGGGUUUGCGUCUGAUUAGCUGGUUGGAGGGGUAACGGCCCACCAAGGCGACGAUCAGUAGCCGGUCUGCGAGGAUGAACGGCCACACUGGAACUGAGACACGGUCCAGACUCCUACGGGAGGCAGCAGUGGGGAAUCUUCCGCAAUGGGCGGAAGCCUGACGGCGCAACGCCGCGUGAGUGAUGACGGCCUUCGGGUUGUAAAACUCUGUGAUCCGGGACGAAAAGGCAGAGUGCGAAGAACAAACUGCAUUGACGGUACCGGAAAAGCAAGCCACGGCUAACUACGUG